rnacentral:rRNA from 1 species
UACGUAGGGGGCUAGCGUUGUCCGGAAUCAUUGGGCGUAAAGCGCACGUAGGCGGAUCAGUUAGUCGGGGGUGAAAUCCCGGGGCUCAACCCCGGAACUGCCUUCGAUACUGCUGGUCUGGAGUCCGAAAGAGGUGAGUGGAAUUCCGAGUGUAGAGGUGAAAUUCGUAGAUAUUCGGAGGAACACCAGUGGCGAAGGCGGCUCACUGGCUCGGUACUGACGCUGAGGUGCGAAAGCGUGGGGAGCAAACAGG